rnacentral:lncRNA from 1 species
GCCUGGUGAGUGGAGGAGACUGAAGAUGGAGAGAGAGCCUGGACCUCAACAUGAGCAUUUGGAGCCAUUUGGCAGCAUUAGGCUGUGACCGCUUAGAGAACCGAAAGGGGACAGGCUGUUACUCCCACCUCAUCUUCUGGUCUAGCAGGCUCCCUUCCGAUUCCCAACAGCAAGCCCAGAGUAAGCGCUCUACCCGGUACCUUCAGAUACAGCCUACUUCCUAUCUCAGGGCAGGUGGAAAUGGUCAGAUA